ensembl:lncRNA
GAUGUCUAUCAGCCAUCGGCCCAACCCUAGUUACCGCUCUAAUAUGUCUUACAAUAUCCAUGCGUGCAGAGGUUCUUGUUUAAUGUCAUUGGGCUCUGAAACCAGCUCAAAUUGAUACAUGAAACAGGCAUCUGAGUGAUGUGUGUGUGCUAUUAUGUAGAAUUCACUGUCAACACUGCUUUAGAUGAGUGUAAGUCAUGUAAACAAACAAAUCUACAUACAGUAACUAAACACAAGUUAUCUAUUUUAUUUGUCCAUUUGCACUAUUGAUAAUUUAAGGAACAUUUGUGUUGGAUAAAAAGCGAGUUACAUCAGUUACUAGCUCAACCUGUAAAUGCAGUACAGUAUAUCACAGAUAAAUCACAGAGGAGACUCGAAUCUUGUCUGGAUGUUACAGGGACACAUGAGACACACGUGUGUUUAUCUGCUGAAGAGUAACUGAUGAAACAAUGCUGCCAUCAUAGACUCUCAAUCUUUUGUGGCGGAGCAAGACCUGCAAGGAAAGGUGACAUUUGUGGAAAAAAGAGAAACCCUGAAACAAAAGGAUAAAGGGCCUACAAUCCCCUGAUCAACCUGGAGAAAAGAGCCGUGCUCAAGCACACACUGGUGGUUCUGAACCAGUUCAGUGGUUUAGCCCACUACAAAAGUAAUAAAGCUACAACAAAACAAUGCAUGUAAUUGUAAACAUGAAAUGAAAUUUGGCAAGAAAUUGAAAGCUGACGACGUGAGAUGUAACAUUUUUCACUCUGUGUAAAUGUUUUCCAGGUAGUGGUGCUCAUGGAGAGCAGCACAU